UAUAAAGUUGUAUAAAAAUAUCAAGCCAAGAUGACUAAGGAUUUGAUGUCAUGUUAAUUUGAGUCAUGACUUGAAAAUUUUAAUGGUAACGUUAAUUUUAAUGGUAAAAUUUUAAUGGUAAUGAUCUUGCUAUAUCAUCGUUAUUUACAAGUCUAUUCCUGUCAAGCUUAAUAACAUCAAAUAUUACCGCAAAAUAGCAUCGUUUUAGAUUUCCUGCAGACAAAUGAUUGCAACUGAGGAUAGCAACUGAAGAAGUUGAAAUAGCAUUAUAAAUUGUGGUAUACCGAAGCUUUAGUUUUCAAUUAGAAUAAAAACGGAUAAAAGUACUAAAGAAGAAAUACGAUACAAGUUAAAGUAGAAUUUCGUUAUGCGAUCAUGCUGGCGUAAUGGGGGAAUUACUGUGGCAGAGUAUAAAUAUUGCCAAACAGUUUUGAAUGAAACUAUUGUAUAAUAAUAGUUUUGUGUUGCUUAAAAUUAUUAUGAAAUUCAAA